CCCUUAGAUGUCCGGGGCCGCACGCGCGCUACACUGAAGGAAUCAGCGUGGCUUUCCCCCUGACCCGAAAGGGUUGGGAAACCCGUUGAAUCUCCUUCGUGAUAGGGAUUGGGGCUUGAAAUUGUUCCCCAUGAACGAGGAAUUCCCAGUAAGCGCGAGUCAUAAGCUCGCGUUGAUUACGUCCCUGCCCUUUGUACACACCGCCCGUCGCUACUACCGAUUGAACGGUUUAGUGAGGGCCUCGGAUUGGUCUCGGCCCGCUCUUUACCGGGCGGCGCCGUUGGUCGAGAAGACGCUCGAACUUGAUCGUUUAGAGGAAGUAAAAGUCGUAACA
rnacentral:rRNA from 1 species